UUUCCGUAGGUGAACCUGCGGAAGGAUCAUUAUCAAAACAGCGGACUUCGGUCCUUGCUGCACCCUUGUCUUUUGCGUACCGUAUGUUUCCUCGGCGGGCUUGCCUGCCGGUUGGACAUUAUCAAACCUUUUUGUAAUAGCAGUUAGCGUCUGAAAACUAAGUUAAUUAUUAAAACUUUCAACAAUGGAUCUCUUGGUUCUGGCAUCGAUGAAGAACGCAGC
rnacentral:misc_RNA from 1 species